rnacentral:lncRNA from 1 species
CGAGGUCACAAAUAAAAAAUUUACAGGUCACAGAUUAUUUCAAGUCCAAAUUACUUGCUUACAGAUUAUUAAAUUUUUAUGUCACACUAAAUAGAUGGUCACAAAUAACUAAAUGGUUGGUCAGAAACGCCAAUUUUUUGGUUAUAGACAAUCAAAUCAUCUGGGACCACCUGUUGUGACCACUAUCUCACCACUACCAAUAACCACAUCGUCGUCAAAACUGUCGCUGCCUCCACCACCAUCUCUAGCAGCCCCGUCAUCUCAGAUACUGCAACUAACACCACCUCACCACAAACAAAACAGAUACAAAACCACCAACACCCUACAAAAGCCAUCAUUGUAACGUCAUCACCACUUCACCAUCUCCACCACCACCACAACCACCAUUUAUACCAACAAAAACUAUCACCAUGCACAACACCACCACGACCAUUGUUGUUCACAGAAACAUUGGUCGGUAAACCACCACCAGCAUCAUCUAUCCUUACUACCGCACCACCACCACCGUUGAACACCACUGCCAGAGCCAUCCCUAUCACAACAUGAAAAUCAGUCAACAUCAUUCACACUGCCAGCAGCAAUCCACCGUCACACCCACCGAUCGCACACCUAUACCUCUACCUCCACCGCACCAUAGCACCAUAGCACCACUGCACCACCACCGUGACAACAUAGCAUAUCAUUGCCGCACCACACACCUGACACCAUCAUCGCACCGUACACAUCCACCACCGAACCAUCAAUCACCACCACUCAAAAGUUCAAAAAAAAAGGUAAGUUAGUAGAUCUGCAGCUCACACAGCUGCUAUUGUUGAGAGAAGAGAAAUUAGGAAGAUCCUCUUCCAGUGGCAGCGCCGCUACUGUUGAGAGAAGAGAAGAUACGUGACUGCAUGUGUUUAGAAAGAGAGAGAGAAGAGUGGGACGGGAUUGGGGAAGCAAUCACUCCCUGUGGUCUCCGGUAAUGGGCGGUAGUGCUUGAGGCGUGGAGAGAGUGAGGAGAGAAGAUGGAGUGAAAAUGAAAAUUUUAGGGUUUGAAAUUUGAAUGGAUAAGAUGGGUACCUGAUUUGUGAUUAAACAAAC